GUUAAAACACCUAUCUCCGUACGAUCACCGAAGUUAAGCAACGUCGUGCCUGGUCAGUAACCUAGAUGGGUGACCGCUUGGGAAUACCAGGUGCAGUAAG